rnacentral:misc_RNA from 1 species
GGACUCCCAUAUAAGGGAGAUACAUGUAUUUUUAUUUAGAAUCCAUGAUGAAGUCUUUCCCUGUACUCGUAUAUCAGCCACUCCUGAUCCUCAAUUAUCCUGGUUACAACACAUAAAGCAGUAGUUCUUCCUAAUACUCUCAGAGACGCCCUUCCAAGAGUUUUGCAACUUGAGAACUCUUGCACUCAAACUGGCUCCUUUAAAACAACCUGAAAUUACAACGGACAAAGAAGAGACAAACUUUGAUGCUGUUACCGGGAAAAUUUUUGAUAGAAGCUAUUAUCUUGCAUCUUUAAUUCACCUCAAUCACUGCUUGUUGCUU